GUGUUCGGGAGUUCGAAUCUGAGACAGCGCGAGCCCGAGCGGCUGUCACAUAGGCUGGGCUACAAUUGGAGGUGCGCACCUAUAAAUCCCAGCCCCGGGCGACGGGAACCUGGACCUGGAUCGCAACCCUUUAACCCCCUCUGCAACCCCCCACCCACUUUUUCUUCACAGCCUCAUCUACCCUCCCUUCACCCUAACGACUUCAACCCUAACAUUAAUACGACUCGAAAGGAGGGAGGUUCUGCUGAAAGAAUUUGAACAGUUCGGAGCCGGAUUAAAAGCCGAACCUCCAAGAUAAUCCCGGGAUUACUACCUGAGCCACGAGCAAACUGGUAUAAGAAGGAUUGCACCGUACUACACCAGAGAAUACAGAGAGGAUAGACACCGCAGAUAGUUCCUGACCAUCACCCAAAGAACAACUGCACAACUUUGGGAAGACAUCCAGUCCCUUCACAGCAACGUCCACCACAGAGAAGGUUGGGCAGUGAAAUCAUCACCUGGAAAUCAGUUGGGUCAGGUCAUCAGAUCUGAAAUUAGUCAGAUCACCAGUGGUGUGGAACCAUCCAUCAGAACCAACCUUUCUGAAGGUUCAGCUGUGGGCGAUCGGUCAGGGUGAGACUGGGAAGAAGUGUGAGUGGCUCCAAGUGUGGUGGGAGCUUCAAUCAUUCAUCGAGCCUCAUGAACCACUGACUCAUUCCUACAGCUGAGAGGCUGUUCAAGUGUGAGGUGCGCGAGGAGGGCUGCACAGACUCACACGAGCUGCUGAUACACAGUAGACCACUGUGAACACAAGGGCAGCUAUAUGGGAGAGAAAACCUUCAAGUGUGAGGUUUGAAAUCAAGCUUCUUUGGUGUCUUCGAACCUUCUGAGACACCAGAUAAUCACACCAGGGACAAAUCCUUCAGGUGUGAUGUUUGUGAGAUGGCUUUCACAAAGUUGUCUGAUCCUCUGAGGCACCAGAGUAUUCACGCAGGAGAGAAACUGUUUACAUGCGAAGUGUAUGACAAGCCAUUCUCAAGGUCGUCGUCCCUCCACCUUCAUCAACACAUUCAGACCAGGGAGAAACUGUUCAAGUGUGAGGUGUGCAACAAGUUAUUCUUUGAUGCAUCUGCCCUCCACAAACAUCAAUUCAUUCAUACCAGAGCGAAACUGUUCACGUGCGAGGUGUGUAACAAGUCAUUCUCCAAAUCAUGUAGCCUCCACACACACCAGCGCAUUCACACAGGUGAGAAACCAUUCAUGUGUGAGAUGUGCAACAGGUCAUUCUCGCAGUUAGCGAACCUCCGCAUGCACCAACGCAUUCACACUGGAGAGAAGCCAUUCACAUGUGAGGUGUGCGAUAAGUCAUUCUCGCAGUCAUGGACCCUGCGUGUACACCAACACGUUCACACUGGAGAGAAGCCAUUUACGUGCAGGGUGUGCAAGAAAUCAUUCUCACUGCCAUGGAUCCUCCGCGUACACCAACACAUUCACACAGGGGAGAAACCAUUCCCAUGUGGAUUAUGCAACAAAUCGUUCCUGAGUUCAUCGCAAUUCCUCAUGCACCAGCACAUACACACUGGGGAGAGACCAUUCAUGUGUGACAUGUGCAACAAAUCAUUCUUGAACUCAUCAUCCCUCUAUCACCACCGACGCAUUCACACAGGGGAGAAACCAUUCACAUGUGAUGUGUGCAACAAGUCAUUCUCCAAAUCAUGUAGCCUCCACAUACACCAACGCAUUCACACAGGGGCAAAACCAUUCACAUGUGAGGUGUGCAACAAAUCAUUCUCACAGUCAUCAAGCCUCCGCAAACACCAACGCAUUCACACAGGGGAGAAACCAUUCACAUGCGAGGUGUGCGAUAAGUCAUUCUCACAGAAAGUGACCCUCUGCAUGCAUCAACGCAUUCACACAGGGGAGAAACCGUUCACAUGCGAGGUGUGUGACAAGUCAUUCUCACAGUUAGCGUACUUUCGCAAGCACCAACGCAUUCACACAGGGGAGAAACCAUUCACAUGUAAGGUGUGCGACAAGUCAUUCUCGCAGUCAUCAAGCCUCCGCGUACACCAACGCAGUCACACAGGGGAGAAACCAUUCACAUGCAAGGUGUGCGACAAGUCAUUCUCACGAUUAACAAACCUCCGUGUGCACCAACAUGUUCACACAGGAGAGAAACCAUUCACAUGUGAGGUCUGCGACAAGUCAUUCUCACGCUUAGCAAGCCUCAACAUACACCAAGGCAGUCACACAGGUGAGAAACCAUUCAAAUGCAAGGUGUGCAACAAGUCAUUUUCACGGUUAGCAAACCUCCGUAUACACCAACGCAUUCACACAGGGGAGAAACCAUUCACAUGCCAGGUGUGUGACAAAUCUUUCCCACAGUUAGCGAAUCUCCGCAUGCACCAACGCAGUCACUUGGGGAGAAACCAUUCACAUGUGAGGUGCGCGACAAGUCAUCCUCAUGGUUAACAAACUUCCACACACCAACGCAGUCACACAGGGCAGAAACCAUCCACUUGCAAGGUACACGGCAAAUCAUUCUUGCAGUUAAUGACCCUCCAUGGAUACCAAUGCAUUCACACUGGGGAAAAGCCAUUCAUGUGUGAGGUGUGCAUCGAAUCAUUCUCCAAAGCAUUGAACCUCUGCACACAUCAAUGUAUUCACACGGGAGAAACCGUUCACAUGCAGGUUGUGCAACAAGUCUUUCUCAAAUUCAUUGCAAUUCCUCACGCACCAACACAAACUUACUGGGGAGAAACCAUUCAUGUGUGCAACAAAUCAUUCUUAUACUCAUUAUUCCUCCACACACACCAACACAUUCACACAGGAGAGAAGCCAUUUGCCUGCAAGGUGUGUGAAAAAUCUUUCAUGCAGUCAUCAAACCUCCAUGCUCACCACCACAUUCACACAGGAGAGAAGCCAUCAUAUUCAAGAUGUGCGACAAAUCAUUCUCGCAGUUAACAAGCCUCUUGGCAUAUUAGCUGAUUGAUCAGGAGAAAACCUUGAGAUGUGAGGCGUGCAACAAGGCUUUCACACAGUCAACAGAUCUGGCCCAUCAAUACACUCACACGGGAGAAACCCGAUUGAUGUGAAUUGUUAAGCCUGCACUCCACCUGGAACAUCAGCAAACCCACAUGGGAUUCACCUCUUGAGACACCAGAGGAUCCAUUCGGGAGAAACUCUUCAGGUGUGAGGUGUUUUGAAAAAGCCUUCAUACAGGCAGCAAACCUCUGCAUACACCAGCCUAUUUGCAUGAUGGAGUAACCCACCAGUUGUGAGUUGUGUGGUAAAGCUUUCUUGAUAACUUUGACCCUCCCUGGACACCAGCACAAACUCUUCAGGUGCAAUGUUUGUGCCCAAUCCUCCGAUCUCCUGAAGCACCAGUGGAUCCACACUGGUGAGAGCCCAUUCAGGUGUGAGGAGGUCAUGUAUUUGAGCGUCAUGUUCGUCGAGCCUGUCCUGGUGACGAUGAUAUUCGAACCCAAUGGCCUGGACACAGAAGUUCAGCACAGCUGACUUUAUUUGACCUCACUGUUUGGGAAUUGAGUUGGAUGUGUGAAGAUUUUCCAGAUUUGUCAUGAGCUCCACCUGGAAAUCCUCCCUUUGGUUGGGCUGUUUUAGGGCUGAGACCUUCUUCCUCUUGGACUUUGGACCUUGUGAUGUCUUAGUCCUGGGUGGAUGGUCAUCACCAAUCGACCAAGUCGAUGAUCUGUCCAGCAGGCAUCAGUCCCCCACAUGGAUCGAGUGAAACAGACAUCACUUAGAACUUUGACUUGGCUUUACACCUUCCAGAGGAACCUACAAGAUGGUCUUUGUUGCCAGAUAAACCCAAGAGAAAGGUUGAGAACACCACCAGGAACUCUUCAUUACGUUCAUCAACAUGACCAAAGCAUUUAACUCAGUAAAUCUCAAGGCUCUGUGGAUUGUGCUCCAACAAUUUGGAUGUCCAAGAAACUUCAUCACAAUCCUGCAAUUGCUUCAUGAUGAUAUGACUGCAACUGUCUCAAGUGGGAGAUCUGAAACAGAAGCCUUCAAAAUCCCAAAUGGUGUCAAGCAAGGCUGUGUGAUAGCCCCCAUUCUAUUUACAACCUACCUGACAGUGACUAUUCAACUUAUCAAAAAUCAACUGCCCUCUGGUGUCAGUAUUAAAUACCAUCUAGAUGGGAAACUCAUUUACCUCAGUUGCGUCUGUGCCAAAACUAAGUUGACCACCAUAAAUACACAUGAUCUACAGUUUACAGAUGACUGUCAUGUCAUUGUACACUCUGCAACAGAUUUACAAAACUCUCUCGGUCUCUUCAAUUCUGCAUGUGUUUGUAUGAUGGAAACAAACUCCAUACUUUGCCACUAUAGUUCAGUGUCAUUUCUGACCAUUGGAAUUGGGAGCCAGACUAAAGCACAGGGAUUUUAAAGAAACUUCUGUCUGUCGUAUUCUGAGAGAGUUUUACCUGAUGUGUGUGUGUGUGUGUGUGUGUUAGUAAUGUGAGCCAGCUCUCAGGAGUGUGCGUGGGGUAGAAUCGGACCCCGCUUUGGUUGAUGAUGUGAAUUAUAGACAGAUCCUCUUCAGGUGACGGGUGUUUGACGAAUACCAUGGGGAAUGUUUGUACUCUCCUGUCUGGGAGGACUACUAUCCUGAGUUUGGUGAGGGAGUGGGGGUGAGUCUCUACAGACCUGAGUUCCCUCAGCCCAUCAUACCUCAAUAUAAUAACGGUGCGAUAUGUUCACCUUACACUCUUCUAAGAUUCUGGGAAAGAUGUUGCGUCAUUUUCAAAUGUUUUGUUAUUUUGGUUGAUUAAAAAUUUGGUAUG